rnacentral:rRNA from 1 species
CCUACGGGGCGCAGCAGUGGGGAAUAUUGCACAAUGGGGGAAACCCUGAUGCAGCGACGCCGCGUGAGUGAAGAAGUAUUUCGGUAUGUAAAGCUCUGUCAGCAGGGAAGAAAAUGACGGUACCUGAGUAAGAAGCCCCGGCUAACUACGUGCCAGCAGCCGCGGUAAUACGUAGGGGGCAAGCGUUAUCCGGAUUUACUGGGUGUAAAGGGAGCGUAGACGGCAGUGCAAGUCUGGAGUGAAAGGCGGGGGCUCAACCCCCGGACUGCUCUGGAAACUGUACGGCUGGAGUGCAGGAGAGGUAAGUGGAAGUCCUAGUGUAGCGGUGAAAUGCGUAGAUAUUAGGAGGAACACCAGUGGCGAAGGCGGCUUACUGGACUGUAACUGACGUUGAGGCUCGAAAGCGUGGGGAGCAAACAGGAUUAGAUACCCCAGUAGUC